CUUUAAGGCCCCCCGCCUGAAGAGGAAGACGAGGGCCAACAGGGGAGGCUCUCGGGCAAAAAGAGGGGGGCGCAGAGGAAAGGUGGGAGGUGUGGAGUCAGAGUCCUCUUCAGGGUGGGCCUCUGAAGACAGCGUCUCCUCAGGGGGGACGGUCACCAGCAGGCACGGGGUGGGGCAGAUGAAAGCGUUCCUGCAGACCACCAAGAACCAGAGAGGAGUGGAGCUGGAGGACUACUUCUCCGACUUGGAGAAGUUUGCGCGCUCCGUUCGACAUGGCUGCACGAAAAAGGGUGGGGCAGACUACACCCAGCAGGAGGUUUUCCGACUAAGGAAGAUCAACCUCAAGAUCACCAGGGAUGGAGGAAAUGGGGCUGAGUGAGGCGUCUGACCGGCGGAGGAGGAUCCUGAGCAAGAAGACGGGCAAAUGAGAUGAAAUGAUUGUAAUUGUUUUUUUUAUAUAAAAUAAAGGUUUUUCAAAAAUCAAAAAUCUCUGUAUCUAUGUGUCUCUAUCUCUAUCUCUGUCUGUCUAUCUCUAUCUAUGUGUCUCUAUCGCUCUCUCUGUCUGUCUGUCUCUGUUUCUCUCCCCCCCUCUCUCUCUGUGUCUCUCUCUCUCUGUGAUGCUUACCUGCUGCAGAGUGACGUUCCGCAGCGGAAAGACCUCCCUUUCUUUAGAGAUCUGUUUUAUCGUGGACAGCUAGAGAAGAUGGAUUUGUGGGUUAAUUCACAUUUUAUACCAUUAUCCACAAAUUCCUACAAUUUGAUGUAAUGUAAACUUCACUUACUUCGAUCACUUCCCCCUCCACGGUCAGAAACCCCUUGGCGUUCCUGCAGGUGCUGAGGGGCGUCAGUGGUGAGAGUGGACGGAUGAGGGCCUCCGCCUGCUCUUUUAAUUCUUCGGAUAGUGCUAUAGGAGCACUUCUAAAGAACAUAGUGUCCUUAUUAACCACUAUAAUAUAGGGUGGAGAGUUCCCUCUCAGGGAAUGCCCCUUUAUAAAAUAAUGGCCACCCUCUUUAAAUUUCCCCCCGAACUCUUCGUAGGAAGCCAGUUUUCCCACUGACUCCCCAUCUGAGACUGCGGCCAGAAUAUUUUUUUUGGUUGUAACUGGCCUUGCACCUGCGGGAUCAAAGUCCCAGACCACCACCUUGCUCUGCUCCACCAUCCCCACGACACACAGGUGGAUCGGUGGGGGUCGGAAAUAAGGGGUGGGGGGCUUUGUCCACAAGAGUGCAUGUAACGCCAUUCUGAAAUAAUACAAUAAACACAAAGUAAGGAUAAAUUAAAGAAUAGGACAGUAUUAAAAAAGGCUUACGCUUCUCUUAUAUAUUAUCUUUAGCGUAAUAGUGUUAUAAACUAUAUAAUGUCCUUUUAAGAGUGCCUUGAAUUGACUUAAAACAGGAGAGUGAUUGGAAAUAACAAGAUAUAUAACUUAGCAAUCUUUAAAAUGAUUAUUUGUUAGCAAUUUCAUGUUUUUUGUAAUUAAAAUAUAUAUGGACUUAAUUAAUUUGAGGUAUUCUUAAUAGUGUUCAAGUUAUUAUCACAUUAGAAAGGAAAAACCCUCUUGAAAGUAUUCUAAUUAUCAUCAUUAUCAUUUGAGAGGAAAAACGCUUACCUUUCUCUUAUCUUGUCGUACGUUCAAUGAAAAUCUAAAAUGUCAGCAGUGGUGUGAGGCUCACUAAAGCCUUUUGAUCUCACCGCUUCGGACGUAGUAACCAGUGAGUGAAGGCUCAUCAUUGGAGAGAAAUGUGCAAUGUGACAGUGAUUGGCCGACAAACAACAACAACUUACACUCGCGGGUGAGAUGAAAGCGCUCGGUGAGGCGCAGAUCCUCUCCAAACAAUGGCUGAUGACGCUUAGUAUUUGUUCAACCUGAUACAAUUUGCAAGAGGUGACUCUAAAACUAUAAACUAUACUUUAUUGAGCGAUAUUAACCCUCCUCUCACAUUUGUUUCUCCCACUUUACUUAAGUGUUCCAUCUGUUUUAACUGCUCUUAUAUUAACACAAAAAUCGUUACUGAUCACCCCAUUUAGUAUAACAUCUUUUUAAUUUAAGCUGCAAACAAUGUCUCAGACUAGUGGUUUUUACACUUUUCAGCUCACCUGUUUAUAUUUGUUUAUUUAUUGGAUCUAUGUACUGGAUUUAUAUUAUCUAGAUGUUUUUAUUAAUAAUCCAUUGAGCUUUCUGACUGAAUUCCACUUUGUGCUUGGUGUGACAUUGAUUGAUUGUUGCAGAAAUAGACAUGAUUUUCUUUUGCGUUCGACUUCUGAAUUUCCAAGUGCCCCCUGAACGCCUCAGUGAACACUACAACUGAACUGCGCAUGCGCACCCUGCCGUCCUGCCGUCUUCUCUGGUAAGUAAUUGUGAGCCGCUAACGGAGAAUGAUUUAAUCGAUAUAAAUACAAUAUAAGGUUUUAAAAAGCCGUUGAGGUUAGUUGGUAACUCAUAGAGUUUAUAACUACAUGGAUGAAAGUGAAAUAUUACCCAUGUAUUGCAUAUGCUGACGCUUGCUUAACACUAGCAUAGCAGCUAUUGUGACUUUAGCAUGUUAAGUUAACGUUACAUAUGAGUUGGGGGUAUGCCACGUUUUUAGUUAACGUUAACUGACGCGGUAGUUAGCUAACUAAGUCACCGGUUAGCUAGCUAACGUUACUAUUAUCAGUUAACGUGGCUAAAGUCAGUGCUAGCCGAUAUGCUAGUGUUAGCUGACCGUUAACGUCAUGACGCCAUGUUCACACCCAACGUGGCGCAAAUUUCUUGUGCUAUUGUUAAAGCGUAACCUACAACAUGACGCGUUUAUAGGCUGCUCUUGUUCUUACUAUAUUGUAGCUUCUUUGCUCACAUAGAGCUCUAUGAGACAUGUUGGUACAGAACGAAUUAAACUAUGUGCAUACCACUAUGGUGUAUAUAAUGACGCCGUACGAGUGUUGGUGGAGCUGCUACAAUGUUAGCUUAGGCUAGCACUGCUCCAUCCAGGCUCCAUUCAGAAAACGAGCAUUUUAAAGUUCGGUGCUCUUCCGUCUUGCCGACAGAAGUAACAAAACAUGAACAAAAAAAAUCGACAUAAUUCUGUUAUUUCGCUUGUUAUUCGUUUAUUGCAAUUAAGUAAAAUCUCUUUAUUCUGGGCUCUUACUGCUGCACUGUAACCAGUCGCCAUGAUCUAUACCGUGCUUACGUGUGAUAGUGCAGCUCGAUCGUCUACGGAUGUCGUUACCAUCCGUAAAGACCUGGCAAAUGUGGGCCUUCCACAUCACGUAAAACGCAGAAAUUUAGUUAAUUUGUCCAUAGCUGAUCCCCCUCCAGUGCGUCAUGACGCCAAAACCCACAAAUAUUCCCACAGAGAAUAUCCAGCUCCUCCGGUCAUGUUAUGUAGUUACAGGAAGGAGUUACACACCAAUGUCAUGCCUUUUAAACCGCCAACACAUUAGUAAAAACGUCAGUAGGAACAAGCUAAUUUCUAACAUGAAUACUGUUAAUGCUCCUUAGGUCGUUUACCAGCAGUUUAAGCUGUUACCAGCAUGUAGUAACAUUUAUGGCAAGAAUAGUGGUAUAUAUGAUGAGCAAGAGGCUAGAUAUUAUUAUAAUUAUUAUUAUGAUGUAUAUUGCAUUUGAAAUCCUGGCUUGUUUCUUUUAACCAGAGGCUACACACACACAAACUAAUGAAGACUUAAACAAUGCAUGACAACGGUUGAGUUAAUUCUUGAUUUCCCAUAUGAUGCUGGUAGUAAUAAAGAGUAGUAUUCUACCUCUGUAAUGUAUGUAUUGAAUAGAUAAUAUAUUGAAUAGACAGGGUUUUUUUUUGUGUGUUUGGCUUGAAGCUUUAACCCGCUUACUGUCUUUUUGUCAUAUUGUUUCCUCUGGCAGACAACAGAACAUCGAUCCAUAUCUCCAUUUUGGUUGGCUGACUCUGAAGUACCAUCACUGCUGGUGACUUCACAGUGUCCUGCUGUGCAGCAUCUCUCCUCUAUCACGUUGGCUCUCUAUCUCUCCUAUACCUUGUAUCCACUCUGUCUACAAGUUGGCUCUCUAUCUAUCCUGUACCUUGUAUCCACUCUGUCUACAAGUUGGCUCUCUAUCUAUCCUGUCACAUCUACCGCUCUGUCUUUUGCAUAUGGCAACUCACACUUUGUGUCCCCCUCUAUCCCACUCUCACGUUGGUAAUCUUUGGCAAUGGAAUGGAACAAACUCUGGAAACCUUUCUCUGAACUGAACUGAAUUUUGGACUAAGCUCUGUUGGCUCGACUUGGGUUACUGGUACCUAAUCUAUCUGACUUGAAUACUCUGAGAGACUCUCUUCUCUCACCCUCACCUCUUACCUCUCCUAUCUACAACUUAUACACUUAUCUCUAGAACACUAUUGCUGUUUUUGCAACUCGGACAAAGCAUUUAUACUAUUUCCGAGACUUUUUCCCAACACAUUGGUUAAACAAAACUGAAAAGUUAAUUCAGAAACUGAAAGAAACCACACAUAACCUACAUAUUUUGUUGUAAUUGAUAAAAAGUACCUUUUAUCAUUUAGAAUUGAAUGGUACAUUUUCAAAUAUAUAUUUCGAGUAAAUCAUUACAUUAACAUAAUUCAAGAAAGUUGCUCCCUUGUUACUUUACAUAAAAACAAUUGUAGUAAAAGUCUAUAUCAUAUAAAAGGAAUAGUUAAUUUCCUGAUCGUUGUUGCUUUGGAGCUCCGCUGGUUUGUACCCAAAGCUUUGUUUUGGUAGCAGUACUCUAGAAAUCUGUAAUAACAAUUUCCUGUAUAAACGUACAUUAUUUCAAACAUUCAGUGUAUUUGUGUGUUUAGUUGUUUCACUUUGUUCAUACUGAAAUAAAACAAAGCCAUCUAUAAGGAGGAAGUGGAUUCAUUGGGAGUUGCUGCCUUCUGUCUGCAGGCCCGACAUUCAGAAGCUUUCAUCCAUCAUCACGUUGCCACGACAACGCUUCCUGAUUUAAUAUAAACCCAAGUAUUAUAAGUUGUUCUCUUGGUGUUCUUGAUCAGUAAAAGCAGACAAAGGUUUAAUCUAUUUUCACAUUCUGCUUUGUUAAGUUACUUUUACCAUUAAUAUUGUGUUUAGUACCUUGGUUGUGUACAAUACAAGUAAAACAAUAACAUUUGUGGUUUUGAAACACAACAAUGCCCAGAAAGAGUAAGAGGUCACAAGCUCAGAGCCAGCGCUGGCAGCGGACCAAAGAGAAUCCCUGUGCAACAACGACUGAAGGAGCAGAAUGUGUUGGUCCUGAGAGCAGUGAAGAGGUAAAGAUGUCUGCAGAGUCUCAUGCUGGAAGUGUGAAACAGGGAGUUCCAAGUGAGUCACAGGUAUCGUAUGCAGACGCAGUAAAGAGUGGACGUCACAGUGAGGAUCCAUGUACAGCAGGACCUUCUAAUGUCAGGCAGGUAAACCUUAGAGGUCAAGGUGAUGAGUCAUGUGUACCACAGGUAUCAGAUACUGUAAAGAGAGGACAACCCAGUAAAGAACCAUGUGCAGCAGGACCUUCUAAUGCAGACUGUGUAGACCCUGGAGAUCAGCCUUCUGAACAACAUGUCCGUGCAUCCCACAGCCAGGCUUCUAUCAGAUACGGCAGAUCCAGAAAUCGGCAGUGCACCUGUAACUCACUGACCUUUCUUGCAUUCCUCCAUGAGAAUGAAAGCAUCACCAGAGCAGACCUGGACCAUGUUUUGGAUAAAGGUAACACGAUGUAUAGAGAAACCAGGAAACAAGUCACUAAUCACAUCUAUCUGACCACCGACGAGCUCACUGAUGAAGUUCCUGCACGCAGCGCUACACACCAUGCAGACAUGACUCAGCUUUCAAGGUACGGCACAUUAGGAGAACCUUUACCUGGAGCUGUGGACAGCUUUCUGGACCUGGAGUCAGGACUCAGCUGCUUGUUGUCAGAUGUGAAGUACGCUCUGCUGUUGAUGAGACUCUUGUGUAUCGCAGUGUUCAGAACCAAGUCGGGCAGAUACGGUUUCUUUGACCCACACUCCAGAACAGCCAGAGGUUUGCCCCUACCAGCCGGUUCACGCACACCAGGUACUGCUGUCAUGGUGACAUUCUCACGUCUCAGUGACAUGAUUGACAGGCUCAAGAAGUCCCACAGAAUGAUGGACACACAGUCCUCUUGUAACUAUGAGUUGAAACCUGUGGAGUUUUACAAUGUGAACACAGUCAACCUGAACGAUGGUCUCCCAAACACAGACUGCAGACCUACAGCUGUCCCUGUGGAUGAAUCAAACUCACCUACAGCCACUGAUGAGACCAGUUCACCUGAAACGACUCCUCACACUCCAGCUGUAAAUCAACCAGAGGUCUUCAUCACAAC
ensembl:lncRNA